rnacentral:rRNA from 1 species
UUUUUCGGAAGGUAUGCUUAAAGAUGGGCUUGCGCCACAUUAGUUAGUUGGUAGGGUAAUGGCCUACCAAGACGAUGAUGUGUAGCUGGACUGAGAGGUCGAACAGCCACAUUGGGACUGAGACACGGCCCAAACUCCUACGGGAGGCAGCAGUAGGGAAUUUUCGGCAAUGGAGGAAACUCUGACCGAGCAACGCCGCGUGAACGAUGAAGUAUUUCGGUAUGUAAAGUUCUUUUAUUGAAGAAGAAAAAAUAGUGGAAAAACUAUCUUGACGUUAUUCAAUGAAUAAGCCCCGGCUAACUAUGUGCCAGCAGCCGCGGUAAUACAUAGGGGGCGAGCGUUAUCCGGAAUUAUUGGGCGUAAAGGGUGCGUAGGCGGUUAGGAAAGUCUAUAAUUUAAUUUCAGUGCUUAACGCUGUCUUGUUAUAGAAACUACCUUGACUAGAGUUAGAUAGAGGCAAGCGGAAUUCCAUGUGUAGCGGUAAAAUGUGUAAAUAUAUGGAGGAACACCAGAAGCGUAGGCGGCUUGCUGGGUCUUGACUGACGCUGAGGCACGAAAGCGUGGGUAGCAAACAGGAUUAGAUACCCUGGUAGUCCACGCCGUAAACGAUGAGUACUAAGUGUCGGGGUAAAACUCGGUACUGAAGUUAACACAUUAAGUACUCCGCCUGAGUAGUACGUACGCAAGUAUGAAACUUAAAGGAAUUGACGGGACUCCGCACAAGCGGUGGAUCAUGUUGUUUAAUUCGAAGAUACACGAAAAAUCUUACCAGGUCUUGACAUGCUUUGCAAAGCUAUAGAAAUAUAGUGGAGGUUAUCAGGGACACAGGUGGUGCAUGGUUGUCGUCAGUUCGUGUCGUGAGAUGUUAGGUUAAGUCCUAAAACGAGCGCAACCCUUGUCGUUAAUUGCCAGCACGUAAUGGUGGGGACUUUAGCGAGACUGCCAAUUAAAAAUUGGAGGAAGGUGAGGAUUACGUCAAAUCAUCAUGCCC